GAUUUGAAAUUUAAUUAACGUUAUUUGUCUGUACCAGUCGUGUUUUUGACACAUGCAUUGGCUGAAAAAAAAGUCUUUAUAAAAUGUACAACAUUAACAUUUUUUAUCUGCAAAAUGAAGUUGUGUAUUUAUUUCUGAUUUCCUGAACAAUUUGGCUUCAUUGUAAUGAGGUUAAUGAUCUUUUAAAAACCAUGAUUAUGAACAUACGAUUACUUUGUCUUGAGCUGACCACCCAACUGUGGUAGUGUUCGUUGAUAGGUGUUUAUAUUUAUUCAAGCUUGACAAUCUUAUCGCCUUUAUUUUCUAAUAUAUAUAUUUCUCAUUACAGAUAAGAACAAAGAUCAAAUUGUAAGAAGGGUUGCUUAUAUGAGAGCAUACAGUACAUCUGAAACUGCUGAGACUGGGAAGGUUUUUGACUAUAUUACCGACCAGCUGCUAUAGAAGACAAACUGAAAUCUGAGUGCAGAGACGGGAAUAAGUGCUGCACAGUGACAACAGACAAGAGGAUAAGAAUGGACACUCAUAUGUCAAGCUUGAUGAGGAUAUUGUCAAAAGAUCCUGUGAUAAAGCAUUCUUCAAAUACUACAGUGUCUGAAUUGCAAGCCCUUAGUUGCAGGACAUGCAAGUCGUACUCAAAGAAGUGACCUCGUCCCACCGGCUCCCCCUUGGUCAGUCAUCACUCUGCUUCUGCCACAGACUUGCAGGCUGUCUGCUGCGCUCCAACCCUCCACCUCUUUGACUGUAGUCUUAACACAAUAUAAAGGCAGUCGAUGCCUUUAUUAAGGAUGUGAAUUGUUUUUGUCAAGAGAACAUCAUUAUUUAUAUUCAAGAAAAGGCAUACUGAACUGACACAAAC